UUCCUCCUCCCAAGGUUAUAGGUCAUCUCAGUUUGGCAGGAUUUAGUGGAUUCUCUUAAUUUGGGUGCCCCUAAAAAUCUGAUCAAGCUUUAAAACCAAACAUGAAGCAGCCAUUUGACAGAUUACAAUGGCUUGAAAGGACCAAAAACUAUUCCUGGUACAGUUUCAAAUUUGUAUGAUAAAAAAAGUGGAAGACAUAGGUCAUUAAAGGUUUGCAUCCACCCCAACAAAUAUUCAAUGCUGCUUAGUGCUGUCUCAAUCUGUUCUCAACCUUGGGCAACUGGAU